GGACGAACGCUGGCGGCGUGCCUAACACAUGCAAGUCGAGCGAGGAGAUUCCUUCGGGAUGAUCCUAGCGGCGGACGGGUGAGUAACACGUGGGCAACCUGCCUCAUAGAGAGGAAUAGCCUUCCGAAAGGGAGAUUAAUACCUCAUAACAUUGCAGUUUCGCAUGGAACAGCAAUUAAAGGAGUAAUCCGCUAUGAGAUGGGCCCGCGGCGCAUUAGCUAGUUGGUGAGGUAACGGCUCACCAAGGCGACGAUGCGUAGCCGACCUGAGAGGGUGAUCGGCCACAUUGGGACUGAGACACGGCCCAGACUCCUACGGGAGGCAGCAGUGGGGAAUAUUGCACAAUGGGGGAAACCCUGAUGCAAGCAACGCCGCGUGAGUGAUGACGGCCUUCGGGUUGUAAAGCUCUGUCUUCAGGGACGAUAAUGACGGUACCUGAGGAGGAAGCCACGGCUAACUACGUGCCAGCAGCGGC
rnacentral:rRNA from 1 species